AUGGCAUCGCUGACAAUGCUAGUCUCUUGGACCAUUUGGAAUGAAAGAAACGCGAGGAUCUUCUGGCACAAGUCUACACCUUCAUUCGUUGUUUUCAACACGAUCAAGAACGAGGCUACGCUUUGGAAAGUCGCAGGGGCGAAACAUUUGGGUAAAAUCAUGACGGGAGAGUAA
rnacentral:rRNA from 1 species